rnacentral:rRNA from 1 species
CGCACAAGCGGUGGAGCAUGUGGUUUAAUUCGAUGCAACGCGAAGAACCUUACCUGCCCUUGACAUCUAGCGAACUUUCCAGAGAUGGAUUGGUGCCUUCGGGAAUGCUAAGUACAGGUGCUGCAUGGCUGUCGUCAGCUCGUGUCGUGAGAUGUUGGGUUAAGUCCCGCAACGAGCGCAACCCUUGUCCCUAGUUGCCAGCAUUUCGGAUGGGAACUCUAGGGAGACCGCCGGUGACAAACCGGAGGAAGGUGGGGACGUACGUCAAGUCAUCAUGGCCCUUAUGGGCAGGGCUACACACGUGCUACAAUGGUCGGUACAGAGGGUUGCCAAGCCGCAAGGUGGAGCCAAUCCCACAAAGCCUAUCGUAGUCCGGAUCGGAGUCUGCAACUCGACUCCGUGAAGUCGGAAUCGCUAGUAAUCGCGAAUCAGCAACGUCGCGGUGAAUACGUUCCCGGGUCUUGUACACACCGCCCGUCACACCAUGGAAGUUGGUUGUACCAGAAGUCGUAGCUAACUUACGGGAGGCGCCGCCCACGUGUGCUAGCUG